GCAAGUCGAGCGCUCACUUCGGUGGGAGCGGCGGACGGGUUAGUAACGCGUGGGAACGUACCCUUUUCUGCGGGAUAGCCAUUGGAAACGAUGAGUAAUACCGCAUACGCCCUUCGGGGGAAAGAUUUAUCGGAGAAGGAUCGGCCCGCGUUAGAUUAGAUAGUUGGUGGGGUAAUGGCCUACCAAGUCUACGAUCUAUAGCUGGUUUGAGAGGAUGAUC
rnacentral:rRNA from 1 species